rnacentral:rRNA from 1 species
UACGUAGGGUGCGAGCGUUGUCCGGAAUUACUGGGCGUAAAGAGCUCGUAGGUGGUUUUGUCGCGUUGUCCGUGAAAUUCCCUGGCUUAACUGGGGGCGUGCGGGCGAUACGGGCAGACUGGAGUACUGCAGGGGAGACUGGAAUUCCUGGUGUAGCGGUGAAAUGCGCAGAUAUCAGGAGGAACACCGGUGGCGAAGGCGGGGU